rnacentral:misc_RNA from 1 species
AAAAGAAGCCGAAAGGCUACUUAAAACCAUUGCGAACUCGUCCAAGUUGCUUCGGCGGCGCUGCGGCCCUUUCAGGGGGCUGCCGCAGCCCUCUGCCUCCCGCUGUGGAGGUAAGGGGCGCCCGCCGGAGGUACGAAACUCUCAUGUCUUAUAGUGGAAUCUCUGAGUACAAAGCAAAUAAGUCA